GACAGUGGCGUAGUGGUUUGAGCAUUAGACUAUGACUCUGGAAGCCAGGGUUCAAAUCCCAGACUGGCU